rnacentral:misc_RNA from 1 species
UAUAUAUUGUAGAUUCGGAGGUAUGCAUUCUGAAGCUUUUGAAUGAUAUACAAUAUUAUGAAACUGAUGGGUCUUUUAUAUCUGAUGCAUCAAUUUUGACAUGCUCUGUUGAUGAGCUGACCACUUUCUGAUGAGAGCCAAUUCUAUAGCUUAUGCUGAACAAUUAUCUGUUAAACCAGCUCUUUUCUCUAUGCGUUCACACUAGUUCUAUAAUGGGAAUUAGUGCGGGUUCCAAUUAUAUUCACAUUUAUCAGCUAAUGCUUAUGAAUUGUAAAUAUCACUAGUAUUGUAUUUUUAUAUAAUGGGGUAAAAUGUUAUUGAUUUGUUGCAUAUAAUAAUUUUAUUUGCAAUCUUUUUUCUUAACUGAAGGAUUUCAAAUUUGUGUGUAAGUUGAUGCUUAAGAGAGGAUCUUGUUUUACUAUAACAUACACAAUUGCUUUUAAAAAAGAUGGAAGCUUCAUUUAUUUUGUUGGCUUGUUUUUCAAGAAAGUAUAUCUUGCUGUUUUUAGAUGAUUUUGGAACUUACAAUUUUUACUUUAAUGAUUGAUAUUCCUAAGAACCAAGCUAUCCGGAGAGCUGAUAUGAAGAGGCGAGUUUUAGAGACUCUUUAUCCCACUUGUAGUGUCAAUAAAAAUAAUAGUGUAUGGACCUGGAUUGCAAAUAAAGUGGGUUUUGCAACGAAGAUUGAUUCGAAGUCCAAAGAAUUUGAUUCCCAAUUGCUGGUUUUCCCCUGGCAUCUUUUGAAAUCAGUAGAUGAUAGUUUCUUAAUCAUCAACCGCAGGUAAAAGAUGAUUUUCUUGUUAUUAAUUUGUGUUUUAUUUUAUUAUUUUUAUUUUUUAUAAUAAGCAGUAGGCUCUAUGCUGCUUUUUGUGUUUUUGCUGUAAUAGUAAGUAUUACAAUCUAUGAAUUAAGUUUCUGUCUAUGCCCACAACAUUUUGUCAUUUUAGGUUAAAACAAGGAUGUGCAUUUUGAGUAAUAGAUCCUCUAACUUGAACUAAAGAGCAAUCACUUACAUUGGAUGUCUAUUAAAGAUCUAAUUUUAGAAGACUUUUGCCAGGAAUGAUUUGGUAUUAAUUCAUCUAUCUCAAUUUAAUGAGUCUAAAUACCUUAAAGCCAACUUGUGACCUUCUUAUCUAAUGUUUUUCCUGGUUCUUUUUAGGUAAUCUUUGACAUAAGGAUUAAUAUGGUAAAUUUUGUUUUUAUU